GACUAUCUUAACAAGAGAGCAUGAGACUCUUAAUCUCAGAGUCGUGGGUUCGAGCCCCACGUUGGGCG